GGUUAAGCGACUAAGCGUACACGGUGGAUGCCCUGGCAGUCAGAGGCGAUGAAGGACGUGCUAAUCUGCGAAAAGCGUCGGUAAGGUGAUAUGAACCGUUACAGCCGGCGAUGUCCGAAUGGGGAAACCCAGUGUGAUUCGUCACACUAUCGUUAACUGAAUACAUAGGUUAACGAGGCGAACCGGGGGAACUGAAACAUCUAAGUACCCCGAGGAAAAGAAAUCAACC
rnacentral:rRNA from 2 species